GAUGAAAGAACGCAGCGAAAUGCGAUAAGUAAUGUGAAUUGCAGAAUUCAGUGAAUCAUCGAAUCUUUGAACGCACAUUGCGCCCGCCAGCACUCUGGCGGGCAUGCCUGUUCGAGCGUCAUUUCAACCAUCAAGCCCCCAGGGGCUUGUGCUGGGGCCCUGCGGCUGCCCGCAGGCCCUGAAAACCAGUGGCGGGCUCGCUAGUCACACCGAGCGCAGUAGCACAUCUCGCUCAGGGCGUGCGGCGGGCUCCUGCCGUGAAACCCCCCACUGUAACCCCAAAGGUUGACCUCGGAUCAGGUAGGAAUACCCGCUGAACUUAAGCAUAUCAAUAAGCGGAGGA
rnacentral:misc_RNA from 1 species